rnacentral:rRNA from 1 species
CUACAGGGGUAUCUAAUCCUGUUUGCUCCCCACGCUUUCGUGCCUGAACGUCGGUGCUGGACCAGGAAGCCGCUUUCGCCACUGGUGUUCCUUCCGAUAUCUACGCAUUUCACCGCUACACCGGAAAUUCCGCUUCCCUCUUCCGCACCCUAGCAGAGCAGUCUCGAAUGCAAUUCCCAGGUUGAGCCCGGGGCUUUCACACCCGACUUACGCUACCGUCUACGCACGCUUUACGCCCAGUAAUUCCGAUUAACGCUUGCACCCUCUGUAUUACCGCGGCUGCUGGCAC